UCCGCAGACAUGUGAAUGUUAUUCACGGGAGGUCACACCUGCACAAUGGCCUACGGGUUCAAUUGCCGCGGUAACCUGACCGUGCAAAGGUAGCGUAAUCAAUAGCCUAUUAAUUGUUGGCCUGUAUGAAUGGUACGACGCUGGUAGGCGCUGUCUCGGUUAUAUUAGUUUGAAUUUAACUUCUGGGUGAAAAGGCCCAGAUAUAUCUGAAAGACGAUUAGACCCUGUCGAACUUUAGGUAGCUUACCCACCAACUUGCCUAAUAAAGGCAGUGAUUGUUUUGUUAUUAAACCUUUGGUUGGGGUAACCGGGGACUAAAAAAAACGCCCCCCCUCCGUUGAAAGUUAGCACCCACUUUGAUAAGGGUAAUAGUGACUUUACCCUCAGGGCAAUUGGCCUUCAGGAAAGUAAUCACUUGAUUAAUUAAAAAGGUCUGACAAGACAUAGUUUACUUAUAAAAUGAACCUAAAGAACUGUGUUUCAGUUAACUGUUAAAAGGGAAGAGUUWCCGCAGGGAUAACAGCGUAAUCCUCCCGGCGAGACCACAUUAAGGGGAGGGUUUCGACCUCGAUGUUGGCUUAGGGCCUCCUAGAAGUGCA
rnacentral:rRNA from 1 species